AUACCAAAAAUGACCCUAGACGGAAUUUACCGUUUUAGGUAAGAAAUCGACGAUCAAGGAUUUUGGUGAAUAAAAUCGAUAUUAAAAAUAGUAAUAACUGAAAAAUGUAUUUGAAAUAAUUUUUAUAAAUCUAAGACAUGAUGCUUUUUAUGAAUUUAUGUUAGUAUGUGAAUGGAAUAAAUAGAAAUUAGAAUAUACAUGAUAGUUAAAUAGAGAAAUAAACUAGUAGUAAUUAGUUUAAACAAAACUAAUCCUAGUUACCUAAACUAAAAGUUCCGUUUAUUUGCUAUCAAUUAGGCAUGGCUUGGCUACAAUAUUUAAUUUAGUCUAGAAACUAAAGAAAAUUCUAGAAAAAAAAAUGAGCUCUCAAGUGUAUUACUAAAAUAUUGCCAUGUGUUUAAUUAAGUACCACAUAUUAGAAUAUCUUGUUGAAGCUAGUAUAUAUAUAUAUAUAUAUAUAAGGAAAAUAAAAUAUCUGGGGGAUAGCCUUACAUUUUGGGAGAAGAAGGGACGGCCGUGGCCAUUGAUGAGUCUCCGAGUUUUUAUCUUCGAUUUUAUGUCGAAAUUUCAAUCUGAUCGCGUAAAACCUAAUAAAUCGAGUAAGCCCUAUCUAUCUAUCCUAGUUGUAUAUGCUGAAGUUCAGUAUUUUUUUUAAGUUAUAAAAUUUGAAAUAGUUGAUUAAGAUGGGGAUGUUUUAGUAUGCGAAUUUAUGUUUGAUAAUUUGUCAGAUACUUUACGUUUAGAUGUCAGCAAGCAUGUUUUGAUUGCUAUUUUGAAAGUUUAUAAAUCUUGCCUUGAUUAUCAUGAAAUGACAGAAUGCAGGGGGUUGUUUUAAUGUUGAAUUUGGUUGGGUUUUAUCUUGUUAGAAUGGAGAUAAACGUUAUAUGAUGCGCAGAAAUGUGUUUAGGAUCGAAAAACAAAACUAAAAGAAGUUCAGGUUGAAAUUAGGAAAAGGGGUCGAACUGAUCAGCCAUGGUUCAAUAAGUAGUGAUUUUAUUUUGAUAAUUCUAAUAUUGGAUUUGGAUUCUAGAUCGUCGAUAACGUCCAUAAUGAGUCUACUGGAAUUUUUUAGACGUUGUUUAGUUGGUUUUUAUAUUUUAAGUGAAUAUAUAUUAUAAAUGAUGAUAUAAAGAAUGUGUAUAAUUGAUAUGAACUGCUUGUGAGUAGUACAUAAGGCUGAUGAUUAUCAUCGGUGGUCGCAAAGAUAGGAUAAUAACCGGAAGAGAAAAACUAUGCGAAGAGACGGAAAAGUAAAGGUGGUAAAAUGACUUAUGCUCAUAAGUCUAUCAGGUAGCAUACUCAACACUUUCUCUUAUGUGCUUUAUGUGUUUAUAUGCGAAUAUGUAACUCGUGAACUUGAUGAAUUAUGAUUAAUUAUGGAAGAAGAGACUUACGAAGUAAACUAUGAGGAUAUAAUGAAUUGUUGAAUGAGUUGAUAAUGAAAGAUAAAAAGGGAAGAGAAUGAUUGUGACUGUGAAGAUGGUUAUAUAAAUGUGGAAAUGAGCGUUAAGGUGAAUGUGAUAAAUGAUAUAUAUUGAUGAGAUGCAUACAAAUAUGAUUAAAUGUGAUGAUGUCUGAUCUAUUUGUCUGUGUUGAUGGGAAUCUGGGAUGGUUUUGAGAGUGUUGGAAUUUAAUCUGUUUAUUUGAUAUGAUAUGGUGUGAAAAGAAGUUGUUGAUAUGAUAUGUUAAAAAUUAUCGGAAAUAAGUAAUUUGAUGAGAAAAUGAAUAUAAUUGUGGUUGUAAAGUUAAUGAGAUAAAUGUGGAAGUGAGCAUUAAGGUAAAUGAGAUAAAUGAUAUAUGCCUCUGAAAUGUAUACACUUAUAUGAUUCACAUAUGAAGAUGUCUGAUGAUGUCUGUGAUGAUGUCUGAUCUGUAUGCGUUGAUGUGCUAUGUCGGAAAUUGUCAGAUAUAAAGUAUAUUUGAUUGUGUUUACGCCCCGUGCUUGAGUGUGUUCUGUGGGUACAAUUGGCAUGCCAUAAGACAGCAGCGCUGCAUUAUCUGUGAUCUCUCGUCUUCUGGAUAACCGAAGCGAGGAUCGUCUGCUAUCUGAUGGGCCCCUAUCUGAUCUGUCUGAUAUACACCCUAUGGGUGGUCUGUUCCCGGGAUUAUCUGUCUGUACCCUAAUGGGUAGUCUGUGCGGCGUCCUCUUGAGGACCAUGACCGCGUCUGUAUCCGAUUCUGUUUCUGAUCUGGUCCGCGUACCCUAGUCUGUCACUAAGCACUUAAUGGGGCUAUCUAUGUGUUUGGAUAUGUGAAAAUGUGGUUGGUUUGUAUAUGUGCUAUGUGUGUUGGUAUGUGAUAUUGCGUUGUAUAUAUCACGUGGAAUACUUGAUGCUAUGGAAAUGUUGAUGAUUGUUGAUAUGUUCUGCGAUUGAUAUUGUCUGUUGCUGGAUUCUGGGCAUGGGUUGGUCAUAAGGGAGAUGCUGCCCAAAUUAUGUUGAACAUAAAUAAAAUGAUAAUAUGAUAGACGUGUUAAUUAUUUUUUUUAAAUAAAUGAAUAAGAGUUUAAAGAAUUUUUGUUAAGUUGCAUGAUUAUUGCUUGUAGAGAAUUUUGGCUAAAGUGUUGAGUGUGCUACAGGUUAGUUGGCAUUGGAGAGUACUAGUUGAGGUUUCUUACUGUCCGUCUCAGCACUGCAUCCUUGACGGGUCACUGAGCUCUGUUACCGAUAGAUCUUUCGAAUGGUUAGUUGUGGCAUGUUGGCACUAAAUAUUAUACUAAGCUACUUCCGUUGUAAUUGUAAAUAUUAGAUAAUGAUUUUAAUAUUUAGUUUUGGCUGGAAAAAAAGAAAUAAUGAAAAUUUUAAAUUACCAUAUUUUAUAGUACCGGAAUUGUGACAUCACCUACUCGGUCGGCGGACGAUCGGGUCGGGGGUGUUACAUUUUUUGGUAUCAGAGCCAGGUUUAGGCGUUCCUAGGCUUCUGGUUGGGUUAAAGUUUGUUUAAACACAUGCCACAUAGAAUAUUGAGUCGUUAUCACUAUCAGUGACCCGAUGCAGCUGCUACCAUAUGUUGAUAUAGAAGUUUGUCAAAUGGAGACUUGACACACUAUAUAUAGUACAGGAUUGGAAUUCCCGUGUGACUGAGAAAAUGGUUGUAUGGGACUGGCCACCCCAUAUAACUUGAAUCUCGAUAGCGUCAUUAUCGGACAAAAAGGUUUAUCAGUCGAGUGAAAUAAGUUUAGAAAGGACGAUAAGAAUGUGUUUUGUUACAUGAGAUUGGGGGAAUCUAUGUUAUAACUCUGAUAUAUCAUGAGAUUUGGUAUAUGAGAUAAAUUGGUUAUAUGUGAUUCUGUGAGUUUUGAUAUGAGUGUUGGCAGUUUAAACUUGUUUACAUGAAUUGACAAUGCAUGUGAAGUUCUUUAUUAGUGCACACUCAGUUAAACUCUGCUAUAAGUCUCAUGAAGUCUGAAUGCAGACGAUAAUUUGGUUGCCAAAACGGGUAUGUAGAAUAGAUUGUUAUUGAAUAAAUAACUACCAUCGAGGAAGAUAACAACAACUCAAUAGAUUAUUUAUGUGGCUAGCAAAACGUGUCUUAAUUUUGGAAAUCUUGUUAUAAGGUAUGAGUACACUAACAAGCUUAUUCACUUGAUGCACCACUGACUUAAUGACUCAUCUUUGCCUCAAUAAUUUUCUCAAUUAUGUGAACCGCAUAAAUCAAUUUCUGGGUCUUGUUAGUUAAUAUUUCUCGUGCGUCUACAGUAGAAAGUCAUGCCUUGAUUGAUUUUCUUGCAUCUCAAUCACCUUGUUUAGGAUCAUCUGUUUUGACUUGCAAGGAGGCAAUGUGUCUCUGUACCUAUUCCUUCUAUAAUGUGUAUGUUUUGAUAUUAUUCCGUAUUCUUACCUAUUGGGGCUAUCAGAGUAUUUUUUUUAAUUAUCUAAUAUUAGUUUAUGCGACCAAAAAUUUAUAUUAAAGAUAAAUUGAUCUGUCUCUUCUGUAAGUUGGUUAUAAGAUUCCGUCUCUCCGUCUUUCGAAGCUUACCUUUCUAAUUUGAAUUAGCUUGGAAAUUUACUUUACUUGCAUAAUCUAAGUUUGGAUUGUGAGAAAAAUGUGUUUUAGGUAAAGGAUGUUUUGGGACAACCUAUAGUUAAAUGUAAAACUUGAUGAUUUUUACAUACUUUGAUUACAGAUGUUCACAACGAGCUGAACAUGGAAUUUUAAUGUAAUUAUUGGGAUGAUUAUAUAGUUGGAUUAUCUUAGAUAGUAUGAAUUUUGAAAUAUACAAGUAGAAUUAUGUGUGGUGAAAGAAACAGAGGAUAAAGCUUUUGUGACAUGUUCUGGCGGAGUUUAUCCGACUUCAGUUAACCAAGUAAACAAUCUCAUUCUCUUACCAAAUUUUAACUGAACAUGCUUUUAUAUGUCUUCUGUCAUGUGACCAAAUUUCAGCUUUAACCAAGUUCAAAUGAAUUAAUAAUGGUUUUUGUAAGGGAACUGCCCUGUUCUGCCAGGUUUGGGUAAAAUACACAUUUAUGGCUUAUAUUUUUCAUCUAGUUAUGUUGAAUUUUGACUUGGUGGUUGUCCGGACUGGAUUUUCAAAAUCAGUACAUUUUCUGUAGGAAUCUUGGGACAUGACAAUAGUUGAAUUGCUUAUGUUUUAACCUUAUCACUUUUGAACAAGUGUAUGAGGAUGUGGUUGUUAAUGUGAGAUCUGGAUGGAGAAAUAGUAGUGUUGACUAAUAAUGUCUUGUAGGAUGUAUGCAUAAAUAAUGGACCACAAUUACGAAAUUAAGUUAGAAAUUAAUGUUUAGUAGAUAGACACUAAUGGCAUGGAUUAAGUGAAUAAAUAGGUUUUUUUGGAUGACAUAUGAAUUUUAUACUUUCUAUAUGAAGGUAAUAUAUAUUGAAAGGUAACAGGACAUAACAAGGACAAGGAGCAUGGAUAAAGUGAUUCAUAUGUCAAAGGUGUUUAGCAUUUUGAGGUUAGUUGGCAUUGGAGAGUACUAGUUGAGGUUUCUUACUGUCCGUCUCAGCACUGCAUCCUUGACGGGUCACUGAGCUCUGUUACCGAUAGAUCUUUCGAAUGGUUAGUUGUGGCAUGUUGGCACUAAAUAUUAUACUAAGCUACUUCCGUUGUAAUUGUAAAUAUUAGAUAAUGAUUUAAAUAUUUAGUUUUGGCUGGAAAAAAAGAAAUAAUGAAAAUUUUAAAUUACCAUA